rnacentral:rRNA from 1 species
UACGUAGGGGGCAAGCGUUGUCCGGAUUUAUUGGGCGUAAAGCGCUCGCAGGUGGUUCGUUGCGUCGUGCGUGAAAGACCCCGGCUCAACUGGGGAGGGUCGUGCGAUACGGGCGAACUGGAGGCCAGUAGGGGGAUGCGGAAUUCCGGGUGUAGUGGUGGAAUGCGUAGAGAUCCGGAGGAACACCAGCGGCGAAGGCGGCAUCCUGGACUGGUCCUGAC